rnacentral:rRNA from 1 species
UGGGGAAUUUUGGACAAUGGGGGCAACCCUGAUCCAGCCAUCCCGCGUGUGCGAUGAAGGCCUUCGGGUUGUAAAGCACUUUUGGCAGGGAAGAAACAGCCUGGGCUAAUAUCCCGGGCGACUGACGGUACCUGCAGAAUAAGCACCGGCUAACUACGCGCCAGCAGCCGCGGUAAUACGUAGGGUGCGAGCGUUAAUAGGAAUUACUGGGCGUAAAGCGUGCGCAGGCGGUUUUGUAAGACAGAGGUGAAAUCCCCGGGCUCAACCUGGGAACUGCCUUGGUGACUGCAAGGCUUGAGUGCGGCAGAGGGGGAUGGAAUUCCGCGUGUAGCAGUGAAAUGCGUAGAUAUGCGGAGGAACACCGAUGACGAAGGCAAUCCCCUGGGCCUGCACUGACGCUCAUGCACGAAAGCGUGGGGA